CUUAUGGCAUAAAGAUAACGUUAGAUCACCGUUAGAUCACCGAAGUUAAGCAUCAUUGGGCGCGGUCAGUACUUGGGUGGGUGACCACCUGGGAACACUGCGUGCCGUU